UUGAGAGGACAGUUGUAUGCUAUGCUGUGAGGAGGAAGGGUUAGGUGGUUCUGAGAGGGGCAGAAAGGGUGAGUAUGUAUUGUGAGGGACAGGAAGGAGUCAGCGUUGUCAGGAGCUGCCAUGGGAACUCACAGAGAAGGUAAGAGAACAGAUGGGAAGCACACACUUGAGGCCACCCCACAAGUUACUGACAUUACAGAUCAGUCAUUGCCUAGAGCCAGGAAACUCUACACCUACUAUAAAUCUGGUCACAAAAGAGGCAUUGGCACUUUGGAGAAAAAAAGGUUCUGAAUGUCAUUCUGAGAAACCUGUUCCUCUGUGUGAUGACAGCACUAACCUGGAAGCUGGACCUGUUCCCAAGCCCCACAUAUACGUGCACCAGCUGUUCAAGACAGUAGUGGAUGGAGAGAAAGGAGUGCAGCCUGGGACACCAAUUUAAAAGAAGCACAACCUCUGAAACUGCAGCAAGCUGGGUUAAUGGGGCCUUGGACCUGCAGGAUUUAGACUAAACAGGACCUUACAGGAGAAGCAGGUUUUGCACACUAUGCAGCACAGUAAAGGCUCACUGCAGCUGCACAUCCUUCCACGCCAACCUUGGAUUUUCCUCAAUAAUACUCAAUAUCUACAAUAAGCACAAAGGUAUUUCAUCUGGAUUGGUUUCCACAUUGUUUUUUAAAGCCAUUCAACACCAUGUUUCUUAGUGCAAUAUGGAAUUUAAUACAGUAGUAAAACAAGUUUUAAAAUUCAGAACAGUUCUUGUUUUAAAUCACUUAAGAAAUAGCAUAAACGUUCCCAGCUUCUAAGAACAGAGAAAUAAAGGCACACAGAGGUCAAGUUAUUUGUCUUAAGUGUCAUCAGUAAGACUAUCUGUCGAGAUGAACGAGCCCCUGCAGAACAUGUACUAACAGCUCCUUGCUCAGAUCAUAGGAGGCUCACGCCUCUCCAAGAAAUGCUGACAGCAGCAGCACUGGCAGCCGCACGAAGGCACUGCAGCGUUCCCCCUGCUGCUGGCUGAGCCCGGCACUGCUGAGCAGCCGCAGCAGCACCCUCCAGAUGUGCACUGCCUUAUUUCCCUCCGCAAUCUCCACAUUCCAUUCGGAUCCACUGCCCCAGACCCUGGGCCCCUCCCUGCCGGGGCGUGGGAUUUGGCCGGGGGGCAAGCAUUGGUCUGCCAAGUACCAGCUUUAUUUAAGCUAAUCCUUCACACAAGUGACCAUCAAUAACUGCUAACCUACUUCCUAAAAAACACAGAUCAGUUGACAUAAUAUUAUAACUCCUUUAAAUAUUAAUGCCCUAACAGGGAGACAAUUGCACUGGGCCUAGGGACUCCUCCACUAUUAGAAAUUAUGCCCCAGCAUUAAAUAAAUUAACUCAAUAAGUGUCUUACCAUGAAUACAAAUUCCUGCUUAGGGCUUGCAAAUAAAAUUAUUUAGAGCUGUUCUUUGAGGAAAGAUGAGGUGUUUAAACUUGCAAAAGAGCAAGGGCGGCCAUAUUCAUUAGUCUUUUGUUUUAAAUGAACUGCUUUGUUUUAAACUCAAGGCAUUCCUUUUAGAAGGGAGGAGGAAGAAUCUGGAAAAUUGUUACAUUUCUUCCUCUAGGCUGCACAGUUUCGGUCCUGCAAAGACACAGAUGUCUGCUCCAAAUUGCAAAGGCAGCUCAGGACCAGGGAGCUCUGCCCCAGUGGUACCCAGUGUCACCAGCAGCGCAUCCCUGCAGCACAGAGCACCUUCAGGACACAAGGAGGAGUUCUGGCUGGUGGCACUGGCCAGCAAUCUGUGCUGCUGCCUUGCUCCCAUCGGUUCUGGCAGGAGGUGGACAUGGCCAUCAGCUCUGAAAAACUUCAUCUGGAUCCCCGAGGCUGGAGGGAGUUAUUAGCCUUGCCUCGAGGUCGAAUUUUAUCUCAAAAGUGGAUGCAAUGUUUCUGGUUUUUACUUUUCAGUUUGUACAUACAAACAGUUCAGAACUGCAAGGUACACAUGCAGGACACAAUUCAGGAUUAAAAAAGAGCCACACUGAUUCUACUUGACUGAAACAGAAAGGUUUGUAGAAGAGACCAUAGAUUCAACUUAUUUCUUUUGCGCUAGAUAGAGGAAAACUCCAAUGAAAGCUGCACACAGAGACGUUUAAACACAGAGAAUUUUACAAGUGGGUCAAGGAGCUUGACUCAACAUCAGCCUCCUCCUUCUCCAUGCCUUUUCUUUGCUGCACUGGGUUUGCACAGGUACUUGUUGCAUGCCCAAGGGAUGUAUCAGUGAGCAGCUGAGCAGUUGUGACACAAACCCUCCCAGCAGGAAUGCUGCUUGUAUGCUGCGACUUUUACUUACAGCAUCUGAAUUCCCUUCUGAGCUCCCUGAGGGCUGGGAGAAAUUUAAUGCAGGUCUCAAAAGUGAGAAAUUGACACAAAAAGAGUGUGUGGACAGGAAGAGGGGGUGCAGUCUGCUUGGGAGGAGGAGAGACACAAGCAAUGGCAAGGGCAGUUCUCUCUCUCCCCUCCUUACUGGCCCCCACAUCCCCAGGACUGACAUGGGCUACCAUGUGAACUCCAGGCACCCAGUAGCACCUGUGGGGACCAUUUCCCAAAUCCUGGGUCAGGACUCCUCCUCAGCUGCCUCAGUUUCCCCACAGGCUUCACAUUUACAGAUGCAUGCAGCCACCAGCGCCAAGCUGGCCCCACUGCCCAGUGGCCAGUGCUCACCCCUGGACAGUCCACACGGACACCAUCAGCCACCAGCAUAGGGCCAUCACAUUUAGGGCCACCCAGCUCUUCAGCUUGAACUGUGGGAAGAUGUAUCUGUGCUGAGAUGUACUAAGAAUGAAUGUCAAAGCAAUCUGCAAAAGGUAAGGUGAGAGCAGUGACUUGCCAGCCCUGAGCAGCAGGUUGCAGCCCAGUGGGAGGGCAGCAGCUGUGCUCACCCCCGUGCCAGCCCUGCUGCCACCCCCCUGUCCCAGCACCUUGGGGUCCCUGCUCUGUCUCUGGGCGCUGCCGGGCUCAGCUCCGCCGCGAUGCAGCCGGGGCUGAUCCUCGCUGGGGCCAGGGAUCCUGGGGGAGAUGAUUCCUGAAUAGGCUGCUCUGUGUGCUAGCACAGGGCCACGGAGGGAGGAAUACCUUAUCAGCCCUGAUCUGGCUUUACAGCUUGCUUGCUGCUUUGGUUCUGCCUCCCAAGAGCAGAAUUAAUUGCUGGGCUAGAAAAUGCCAAUAAAUCAAUCAGUUCAUAGCACAUUUAUUUUCUGUAGCUCUGCAUUGGUCUCCUGGCGGCUUCAAACAGAAGCAACACCCCUCGUGCUACAGGGAGAGGUGAGGGUGGGGCUCCUGCCUGCAGAAAGGAGCACAGGCACGGCAAGCUGGGGGCUCAGCACCAUCAGUGACCUGGAGCCAAAUGUCAUCCCAGCAGCAGUACUGCCCCACUUCAGCCUUUAAGAUGACUGCCAAGCCAGACCAUUGCAUAAUUUAUCUUUCUAGAUUUUCCAAAAUGAAUGCCUGAAAGACAGGCUAGAAAGAGGAGGGAGAAAACUGAUAUUCUGUGAAAAGAAAUGCUGAUUUAUACUCUAGACUUAUUUACAUCUAACUCUGUAACUUGACAACGGUGUCCACAGCAACAGAGAAAAUAAACCACUCUGUUACUACCAGUAUGCUUUUUUUGGGUGAAAUGAUAGAGCAAACACAGACUCCAAACCAGACUUGGACUGCACAUGAACCACUUUUAGUCAGUGCUUUCCCACCCGUGGCUCUGGU